CAGGACUAAAAACUUAUAGCAGGGCAUGGUGGCAUGCACUUGUAGUCCCAGCUGCUUGGGAGGCUGAGCAAAGAGUACUACUUGAGCCCAGGAGUUUGAUCAGUGAGCUAUGAUCGCACCAUUGCACUCCAGCCUGGACAGCAGAACAAAACCUUUUCUCUAAAAAUAAAUCAGAUCAAGUGCUCAGUUGGUUCUUCCUCCCUGUGUCCCCCAAACCAUCCAGGAGCAGGGGCUUGAAAGAUUUACAACACUUUACACUACUUCAACAGCUAUUUUAGUCCUUAGAUUUUAUUGCCCCAACCAUGGUCUCCUUGGGAACAGACUGAAUCUGGAUCCAGAAGUGGCUGCUGAGGGAGAAGGUAGACAAGGUAGACCAAGAGCAACUAAGUUACGAAAGCAUUUCAAGGAUGGAGUGAUCAACUGGACCAAAUGACACUGAGAGAUUAAGAAAAGAUGUAAUUCACAUUGGAUUGGUGGUAUGAUGGUUAUUCAGGGAAAGGUCAAGAUGAUUAUUGUGAAAAGUUUGGGAAUUUUUUUUUACUUUAAGUUCUGGGAUACAUAUGCAGAAUGUGCAGGUUUGUUACAUAGGUAUACAGGUGCCAUGAUGGUUUCUGCACCUAUCAACCCGUCAUCUAGGUUUUAAGCCCCACAUUAUUAGCUAUUUAUCCUGAUGCUAUCCCUCCCCUUGUCCCUCACCCUGCAACAGGCCCCGGUGUGUGAUAUUCCCCUCCCUGUGUCCAUGUGUUCUCACUGUUCAACUCCCACUUAUGAGUGAGAACAUGCAGUGUUUGGUUUUCUGUUCCUGUGUUAGUUUGCUGAGAAUGAUGGUUUCCAGCUUCAUCCAUGUCCCUGCAAAGGACAUGAACUCAUUCCUAUUUACGGCUGCAUAGUAUUCCAUGGUGUAUCUGUGCCACAUUUUCUUUAUCCGGUCUAUCAUUGAUGGGCAUUUGGGUUGGUUCCAUAACUAAAGGAAAAAGUGGACUCAUAAGAGAAGUUAAUUUUAAAAUAGAAAACUGGAAUGUUUGCCUGCUGAUGGGAGUGAUCCAAUAGAGAAAAUUAGUGCAAAAAAUGUGGAUAAACAAAAGCACUUAUACAUCAGGUAUAUAAGAUUGUUCUGUUCAAUGAUGUUUUGCUAUAACCUCGAUGAGAAAAAAAAAUCAAUUCCCCAGCCAUGGCCAUUUUCUGUGUGAAGUUUGCGUGUUCUCUUCAUGUCUGCAUUGGUUUCCUCCCACAUCCCAAAGCCGUGCCACUGGCAUCCCAUUGGCAUGUCUGAAUUGUCCCAGUAUGAGUGGUGUGGGUGUGUGUGAGGGUUCUCUGCGAUGAGAUGGCAUCCUGUUCGGGACUGGUUCUUACCUGAACCUCCAGGACAGGCUCCACAGUAGGUCACCACCUACAAUCUUGAACUGGAACAGUUGGGCAAGUAAUUAUCUGACUUGUUUGUAUUAAUCUUUCUUAAAAGUGUAGCUCACAUUUAUUUCAUUGUUUAAUAUUGGAAGUGUUUUGGUCUUUAUUUUGAAGGUUGGGUGAUGAUUUUGUGACCAGAAAUAUGCUGUAGGAAAUUAACUCUAGUUUAUUUCAAUUAGCCUAUGUUAAGUUGAUUUCCUUUUACAUCGUUUCACUUACAAUCGUAGCUUCCAAGAACCUAUCAAUGACAUUAAGUGAAGACUAUUUGUAUAUGCCGAGUUGUCAGUCUCUGCCGAUAGAAUAGGGGAAGGAAGUUAAGGAAUGAAGCCCACAAAUUCCUUCUUCAUCUCUCAAACUUGAGAAAGGGCUGCCCAUUAGUCCUCCUUGAUCAACUAAGUUUGAACUGUCUGCAAUAUCCUUGCCCUAUUCGACCCCCAGUAUGAACUAAGUGGAUAUGUAAGAUCUUACCUAUUUUUUCUGUGCCUGUUCAUUUUGUCUCAAAACAAAAACAAAGUGAAGGCUCAUUAAUGAGAAAUCAAUGAAACAAUAAUUGAUCACACACCUUUAACAGCUGCCUCCUCUUAACAAAUCAUCAUAUAUCUAACCCCAAGCCCAAACCACCACCACCGCAUAUGGCUCUGUUAUCCCUGUGUAGGUUCCUAGGCUAUAGGUCUCGGGUCUCCUAAGUCCAGCCCAUUCUAUGACCUUUUCAUUUCCACCUAUGUGACAAUAUAGAGUAGAUGCCUCUAUUCCCAACUUGGAAGUAAAGAAAAUCCUGAAAUGCCAGAAUUGAUAAGAGAGAUAUGAUAAAAGCAAUUUAAAGCAAAAUUUCAGAAGAAGAGAAAAGAACUUGGCUAAAACCUAAUUAGUAAUUUCAACAUUAUUUCAAAAAAAGAAUGUGAUACAAUUCCCAGACAGUGUGUGCCAUGGAACCCUGGGAAGGCACAGCAAACUCAUAUGGGUGCAGAGGGGUAUUUUAAAUUUUAGAGGAAACCAGCAAUUUGUCAGAAACAAUGUCAACUGCUAGUUCCUGGAGAUCCACACUUUCAACAAUAAACAUUGCUACAUUCUUUUUGAUGAUGUCAUAUCUUUGCAAACUUGGUUUUUAUGCAGUAGCUCUGAUAAAAAACAAUUGCUUUGUGAAAAUCACUGUGGGACAGAAAAUGAGAGUGGCAGUGUCCAAUCUGAUUCUGAGGUUUGAGAAAGUGCACGGUAUCCAACAGAUACACACAUUCUAUUAGCGUGUAAUUGAGGUCAUUUAAAAAUGAAAUACAUUUUUUUUUUCAAAAAAAAAAAGAAAAGUAUGUGAUCAUCAAAAAGAGGGUUACUGUCUCUGGGGCAUGGAACCAUGGAAGUCAAUGGGUAAAUGUUAGUGUUUGUUCCAUAAUGGGACCAAGGAAUCCAGCCAUUCAGUCCUGACAGCUGGUAUAUCCCUAAGGUAGAGCUGAGCAUUUAGCCAUCUUAGCCUGACAUCAUUAAAGACUUGAGCCACACUCUGUACCCAAUAAAUACAUCAUAAAUCCCGUCAUAAAUCAACUUCUCAUGUUAAUUUAUCUGCAGAAGACAAUACUGUUCUCAGAGUAAGAUAGGAUUUUCUACCACUGGCAUUAUGAAUUAACUAAUUGUCGUUCUUAUUUAUAUGUCCAUGCCCUAUGAGCUGGAUUAGAGUGAGAUUUGCCCUGUGGGAUGGUACACUGCACCCCAGAGCAUUGACAUAAUCAGUUGGCUACAUUUACGGAGUUCAGGGUCAAGGAACAGAACUUCUGGGCUUGGGAAAGUAAUAUACUGCAUGUAUAUGUGUGUGUAUAUAUAUAUGUGUGUAUGCAUGUAUAUAUUUAUGUUGUUACGUGUGUGUAUAUAUAUAUAUGUUGUUACGCAUAUAUAUGUAUGUAUGUGUGUGUGUAUAUAUAUAUAUGUUGUUACGUAUAAGAGACCACCUGAGAAGGCUUAGUGUGAGCAACAAGGCUGUUUAUUCACUUGGGUGCAAGUGGGCUGAGUCCGAGAAAGGAGUCAUCGAAGGGUCGUGGGAUUAUCAUUGGUUCUUACAGGUUUGGGAUAGGCGGUGGAGUUAGAAGCAAUUUUUUUUGUGGGCAGGGGAUGGAUGUUACAAAGUACAUUCUCAAGGGCACGGAGGAUGUUACAAACUACAUUCACAAGGGCAGGGAGGGUGUAUUGUCACAAGGGUGGGGAGGAAUGUUACACAGUACAUUCACAAGGGCGCAGGAACGUCACGAUGGCUUGAUUGUGGUGCGGCCAGCUCAGAGGACCUUACAUAUAUGUGUGAGUGUAUGUAUAUAUAUGUGUGUGUGUAUGUGUGUUUUGUGUGUGUUUAUAUAUGUGUGUGUGUAUAUACACACAUAAAACACACACACUAAACACACACAUACCUGUAACACAUACAAAAAUACAUAUAUACACAUACAUACAUAUAAAUAUAUACACACAUAUUAAAGUGCCUAAUACUUCUGCACAGUCUGAGA
rnacentral:lncRNA from 1 species